GAGUUUGGGAGAGGGAUGCGGAAUUCCAGGUGUAGCGGUGAAAUGCGUAGAUAUCUGGAGGAACACCGGUGGCGAAGGCGGCAUCCUGGACCAACACUGACACUGAGGAGCGAAAGCCAGGGGAGCAAACGGGAUUAGAUACCCCGGUAGUCCUGGCCCUAAACGAUGAAUGCUUGGUGUGGCGGGUAUCGAUCCCUGCCGUGCCGAAGCUAACGCAUUAAGCAUUCCGCCUGGGGAGUACGGUCGCAAGGCUGAAACUCAAAUGAAUUGACGG
rnacentral:rRNA from 1 species